CCUACUUUGAAGCUAGCUUGAUAUAAUGCUAAUGUGACCUUGAACGAUUUCUUUCUUCCUGAGUUUGCCUACUAGUAUAGCUUAAAGAUCCAAGUUACACUAUUACUCACUUAUAUCAUAGCCAGCAUUGCUUGAUCAGAUUAUCAGAUAGAUACAGUAUCACGGAGACAAAAUCCUUUCAUUAUGAUGUAAGAUAAAAAAUAUCUUUCAUUAACAACACACGUAAAGGAAGUACCCACUGGACCAACUCAGGUUAGAAGGGUACCAGACCAGAAGAUCAGAUCGUAGAAGUUACUGGAGAAAAAGAUCAGCGGACAGCACUCUUGAACUACAUGCCAGGCCUCUUCUUCCUGGAACUCUAAUGGAUUUAAAUGGCUUAAGAGACGGGAUGAAUUGUUGAAAAUGGUUCUUUCAAAAGACCUCACGGAAGGCCAAAGACAAGACUCACUGAGGCCAAGCUGAUCAACAAUAUCUAUAAGUUGACGCAUUCUAAUCAUGUGGCGAUCUUGACCUUGGGAGCUUGAUUUGUGGACCAGUGUCCCCAAGAAGAUGACCAUCAGACAGAUGACAAUCCUCUCCAUGUUGCCAGGACUGGAUCUCAUAAGUACCAACAGUAGAGCUAGACCUUGGUCUCGUUUUCACUUCAGCUUGACUGAGAACAGGUAUACGUGUGCAUGUGCUAAUGUGUGGGGGCAGGGAUUGAUGGAGUCAACGAAAUGUGCCCCAUCUGCAUCUUUGACAGGAAAAAGAGAGAAUGGGUGAAUUCCAAUUUUCAGCAUGAAUCAAGAAUGUCACCGAUGAAGUUUUUGAAUGCUGUGCUCCUAAUCUCAUUUUCCUGUAAGCAUCCUCCAGAGACUUCGGUGAAGGAUGAUGCAAACUGUGUUUCUUCAGCAUGUGAGCACCAUCAGCCAUGAGUGUGGCAGCUCCAGAAUGUCUAUACCAGAGUGGCUGAGAGUCAGCAACUUGGCUGGAAGCUACACUUGAAUAGCAAACAAACCACUUUUACUUAGUUUCCAUGUCUAUUUGGUACCUUGGAGUACAGUGAUGAGUUUUACUAGAUGUGGACUUUCCAGGAAUAUAGCCAAGGUCGUCACCAUGAAAGUAUGAAACUUUAGUCAUUUACCCAAGGGGAUUCAUGGACAUAUAUUAAGAAUUUUCUUUAAUGGACUGUGUUUAUAGAACACCUGGUCAGGACGGAAAUGAGGCCAGGGAACUAAAGGGGUAGAAGUCUGAAGAGGAAUGGUUUUGCAUGGGAAAACUGUGCCAGGUCUAAAACUGGGCUGAACACUAUUUGUCCCCAACUCUCUGGCCCGGUCCUCAUAGUUCUUUCUGUGAUCCCUGCGUGGUGAAUACUCCUUUUCUGCUUUCACUGGCUUUGGCCCCUCAUGGAUAGAAUUAGAUGUUCUGCAUGGCAAACUGUGGGAAGAGAGGCCUCCAGUGUUUAGAGUGAUAUUAUCAUGUGUACCACUACUAUUAUACAUACUAAAGGUAUUCAGACAGGUGGCUUGUCUCUGGGCUUUAUAUAGAUCUCUGUCAAGCUAGAAGAAAAAUGUCACUAAAAUAAUUCAAGACAAUUUUUGUACUUUCCAACGAUGUUCAGGUAACAGCUGAAAAUAUUCUCACUUAUUUGACUUGAGGAAGAAAAUUCGAACGAGGAAAAUCAUCAAGGAUUUGCUAAAGUCCCUUCUGUAAAAUCUUCCUUAAGGAAGUUUAAACACUCCUAUUCUCUCUUCUCUCAUUCUUUUGAACUCACUGCAUGUAUUGAUAUCACUGACUUGGUUUGUUUUCUAGAAUAUAUGUAAAAGUAAGAGUGUGUAUAUAUAACCCAUUAUGUACAUAACAAGAACAGUUCCUUCCAAUAUUCAAAUUUCAUGACUCUAGAUCACUACUGUGCAUUCUAAGAAGGUCAGGGACUCAUGGAGACCAAAGGGUCAAUCCUGGUCAUUGUUGUCUUACGAGAGAAAAACAAGAGCCUUCUCGGGCCCCGUGUUCUCUAGCUCUUGAUGUGGCCUCUUCGGUAUCACUGGCAGCCCCACAGUCUGGUGGUCAGUGUGUCGCAGCAGAGGGUCAUUCACCGAUGCUGCUUAUCCACAGCACCUUUUCUGUGGGGAAUGGGGGCCUCUAUUCUGCUAGUAGACUCAGGUGUGUCACUCUGUGAUACUCUUAAGACUGGGUUCAUUGAGGACAGGUCUCUUUGCUAACAUUCACACAAAGUCAUUGUUUGGAAGCACAGUCCUGCUUCUGAAAUGCUAGGUCUGGAGGAGUUCCAGCAGCAGCCACAUGGGCCCUCUCCUCAGAUCUUGGCUCCAACAUGGGAUACUCAGCAGUGAGGCUAGAGAUCAGAUGUCCUUCAUUCCUUGACCACUAAGCCUAGAGGAUGGAGAGAAAGAAGUGGAACAUCUGCACUCUUCAACCUGAGUCCACUCCAACUCCAUCCCACAAGGUGAGGCAAGUUCCACCAGCCUCUCCAGCCUCCUGUCUAAUAUGAUCAGAGAAAUCCUCUUCUCUCUGGACUCAAGACCCAUCCCUGUUUCCUUCCCUAAGGCGACAGGUGGCUAUAGCACCCUUUGUCUUGGCCCUGCAGCCACCAAUACACAACCAUAAAAAUAAAGUAGUCCAAUUAUUAGCCUUCGCUGUGUCCUGUGUCCUCCUCCCAAGAGAUCUGCGGAACCUUCAUUUAUCACCUGAAUGGGAGCCUCCUCCCCAUGCUUUCCCAGGGGGCAGCCAUAGGACCUCACAGAGAUGUUACUGUGUAUCACUCUAGACUCUUUUCCUAUAUACAUAGAACAAUAAAGGAAUAGAUAGGGACACAUAGACACUUAAGGAAAUAGAAUUAUGUAUGGAGAUAGAAACAUAAAAAUAAAUAGCACAGACAUAUAGAUAUAGAAAACUGGUACUUUUACAUAAAAACUUAAUCUCACCAUAUGUAGUCUAUAAAUUUUUUUUUCACUCAACCUAUGUCAGGGACAGGAGUCCAUACAGGAUUCACACACAGGGAUAUCUCAUUAGAUUAAUAUUCCAUUGUAUGGCAGUACCACAAUUUAUCCAUUCAUAACCCUACUGAUAAACAUUUAGAUUGUUUCCAGUUUUUAUCCACUGCAAACAAUGCUGCAAUGAACAUCCUUAGACAUAGAGAUCUCUAAGCAUAUGUGAAAUAUAUUCUUUUAAUGUUGUAUUUUAAAAUACAUGUCUUGAAUUUCACUUCCUGAGUGGAAAGAUACUUUGAAAAACUUUGUAGAAACUGCCAAAUUUCCCUCUGACAUGCCAUACCAGUUUAUACUCCCAACAACAUAGAGUUUCUUUUCCUCUCAUUAAUACUUUAUGUUAUGAAUAUUUUAAAUAUCUACCAACAUAUUGGGGCAAAAAUAGUAUCCUCUCAUUGGUUUGUCUUUCCUUGAUCAAUAGUUAGAUCUGCUAUAUUUUCAUCAGUGUGUUUAUUUUUCCACAAAUUGUCUGAUUCAUAUUAUUUGCCAAUUUAUUCAUUUGUUUCUUAUUUACUUAUAAAGGCUCUUUUUCUAUUAAAGAUAUGUUAAACAUGUAGAAAUUAUUUUCUCUGUGGUAUCCUUUGCCCUACUGAGGUUUUGAGCUUUCAUGUUAUUGUGUCUGAGAAUCUUAUGUUUUAUGUCAUGGACCUUCGUUUAAUAGAAAGGGUGUCUCACCUAACAAAACCAAAAAUGGCAGUAAUUAAUUUAGUGUUCUUUUUGGUUGAAGAAUUCUAAUGCCAAGGAGUCAUGUUUAAUUCAGGAGCGCUUUUAAAUGAAUUUGCAUUUCAUUUGUCACAAGAUUAGCUACAUACUUCUUUGAAAUAUAAUAAUACAUUUAUGGUUGGAAGUGAUUUAGUCAGUUUAUAGGCAACAUCCUUCCUGUGCAGCAAUGAAUUCAUGAGCCCUGUGAACAUCAUUAUUUUAGAAAAAGAAUUGGAUAUAAUAUAUACUUCUUAUAUAUAGAGAGAUCCAAUCAUAUACCACAUUCAGGAGUGGGGAGGACAAGGGACCACAGAAUCCUGAAACGGCAUCUGAGCCAUCAAAAGAAUGUGCUCACUACAGUUUCAGUGCUGAAUGUUUUAUUUUACUUCAAUUCUUUAAAUAUGGUUUCUCCAUAUACAGGGUGUACGGUAGUUCUAAAAACGCGAAUGACUAAUUAACAAAGUGCAGACCAGGAAAACACAGACUCUGUGAGAUUUACCAAAUUGGCUCCAAGACUACCCUGAAGUCACCCUUUAAACUGAGAAAUAGUUAUAUCUGAUAGACUCUGUUGCUGCAAAUAAAGGGAAAUGGGAUGGCUCUUUCUGAAAAAAGACUUUGGGCCAAUCAAAAAGAUACUAUCAAUGAUUAUUCUAGCAAACACUUUUGUAUCUAAGUGGUUUAUAGACAUAAUCUCAUUUAAAGCAACAACCAUGAGAAAUAGGUAUUUUGAGUGUGCCUCUUUACUACCGAAGCACAAAGAAGAUAAGUAAGACAUUGAAGUGAUUGGAGGAACUCUCUCCAGAGCCUGACGACUUCUCUCUACAGCAGGGAACUGCCUCCAUUGCUGAUGUUGGAUUAAACAGAACAGCCUGUGCAGUUAGUUCAUGGAUUCCAUAAAGGGACUGGACCUUAAUGAAGACGUUCCUGACAUGGGUUUGGGGUAAGAAGGAGAGUCUGUUUGCAAAAUUAUUAUUGAUAAUAACUAGAAUUUAAAUGUAUAUCUUUUCUUGGUUAAUUAAAU
rnacentral:tRNA from 10 species